rnacentral:rRNA from 1 species
GCCUAACACAUGCAAGUCGAGCGCACCCUUCGGGGCGAGCGGCGGACGGGUUAGUAACGCGUGGGAAUGUACCCUUUUCUACGGAAUAGCCAUUGGAAACGAUGAGUAAUACCGUAUACGCCCUUUGGGGGAAAGAUUUAUCGGAGAAGGAUCAGCCCGCGUUAGAUUAGAUAGUUGGUGGGGUAAUGGCCUACCAAGUCUACGAUCUAUAGCUGGUUUUAGAGGAUGAUCAGCAACACUGGGACUGAGACACGGCCCAGACUCCUACGGGAGGCAGCAGUGGGGAAUCUUAGACAAUGGGCGCAAGCCUGAUCUAGCCAUGCCGCGUGAGUGAAGAAGGCCUUACGGUCGUAAAGCUCUUUCGCCAGGGAUGAUAAUGACAGUACCUGGUAAAGAAACCCCGGCUAACUCCGUGCCAGCAGCCGCGGUAAUACGGAGGGGGUUAGCGUUGUUCGGAAUUACUGGGCGUAAAGCGCACGUAGGCGGAUUAGAAAGUAUGGGGUGAAAUCCCAGGGCUCAACCCUGGAACUGCCUCAUAAACUCCUAAUCUAGAGUUCGAGAGAGGUGAGUGGAAUUCCGAGUGUAGAGGUGAAAUUCGUAGAUAUUCGGAGGAMCACCAGUGGCGAAGGCGGCUCACUGGCUCGAUACUGACCCUGAGGUGCGAGAGUGUGGGGAGCAAACAGGAUUA